rnacentral:rRNA from 1 species
CCUACGGGUGGCAGCAGUGAGGAAUAUUGGUCAAUGGACGAGAGUCUGAACCAGCCAAGUAGCGUGAAGGAUGACUGCCCUAUGGGUUGUAAACUUCUUUUAUAUGGGAAUAAAACGUUCCACGUGUGGGAUUUUGUAUGUACCAUAUGAAUAAGGAUCGGCUAACUCCGUGCCAGCAGCCGCGGUAAUACGGAGGAUCCGAGCGUUAUCCGGAUUUAUUGGGUUUAAAGGGAGCGUAGGUGGAGUGUUAAGUCAGUUGUGAAAGUUUGCGGCUCAACCGUAAAAUUGCAGUUGAAACUGGCAGUCUUGAGUACAGUAGAGGUGGGCGGAAUUCGUGGUGUAGCGGUGAAAUGCUUAGAUAUCACGCAGAACUCCGAUUGCGAAGGCAGUUCACUGGACUGCAACUGACACUGAGGCUCGAAAGUGUGGGUAUCAAACAGGAUUAGAUACCCGAGUAGUC